rnacentral:rRNA from 1 species
UACGAAGGUCCCAAGCGUUAUCCGGAUUUAUUGGGUUUAAAGGGUGCGUAGGCGGGCUAUUAAGUCAGUGGUGAAAGCCCCAAGCUUAACUUGGGAACUGCCAUUGAUACUGAUGGUCUUGAGUACAUUUGAGGUGGGCGGAAUGUGUCAUGUAGCGGUGAAAUGCUUAGAUAUGACACAGAACACCGAUUGCGAAGCAG